CCUAAGCUGAGAGCAACGCCGGUGCCGCGGUGCGUGAUGGACAUGGCCAUGGGCAGCGACCACUUGUAAAUGGAGAUGUGAGGGGACAAAGGACGGCUGGAUUUGGUGUUCUUCUCCCAGAAACGAGCCAUCUCCUCCUUGGCUGUGGUGGCCAUAGGGACAACGUGGUGCACGGAGGGGCCGGGGCUGAGCCGGGCCAGGAGGCACCGCCGAGCGACGCAUCUCAACACCAGCGCCGCCA
rnacentral:lncRNA from 1 species